CCUACGGGAGGCAGCAGUGGGGAAUUUUGGACAAUGGGGGCAACCCUGAUCCAGCCAUUCCGCGUGAGUGAAGAAGGCCUUCGGGUUGUAAAGCUCUUUCGCAAGGGAAGAAAACUUAUGAUCGAAUAAAUCAUGAGGUUGACGGUACCUCGAUAAGAAGCACCGGCUAACUACGUGCCAGCAGCCGCGGUAAUACGUAGGGUGCGAGCGUUAAUCGGAAUUACUGGGCGUAAAGCGUGCGCAGGCGGUUUUGUAAGUCGGAUGUGAAAUCCCCGGGCUCAACCUGGGAACUGCGUUCGAAACUGCAAGGCUAGAGUGUGUCAGAGGGGGGUAGAAUUCCACGUGUAGCAGUGAAAUGCGUAGAGAUGUGGAGGAAUACCAAUGGCGAAGGCAGCCCCCUGGGAUAACACUGACGCUCAUGCACGAAAGCGUGGGGAGCAAAGCGAGUAUANACCUACGUAGUACGACCGACCGUAACCGUAACUNUCUACUACGUAGUUAGUUAGGUAGUAAGUAACUAUAGUAGUAAGUAACGUACGUACGUACGUACGUAGUAGUACGACCGUCCGGUAGGGUACGGUACGGUCGACGAAGUAAACGUUAAACGUAACGAAAGUAAGUAGACGUGUAGAGAGCGACGACGACGACGACGGAGGAGGAGG
rnacentral:rRNA from 1 species